rnacentral:tRNA from 1 species
GGGCCUGUAGUUUAGCGGUUAGAACCCGCCGCUCAUAACGGCGUUGCACAGGUUCGAUUCCUGUCGGGCCUAC